GAUGAACGCUAGCGGCAGGCUUAACACAUGCAAGUCGAGGGGCAGCGUGGAGCAGCAAUGCUCUGACGGCGACCGGCGGAAGGGUGCGUAACACGUGAGCGACUUGCCCGUCACAGGGGGAUAACCGGCGGAAACGGCGACUAAUACCCCAUACGAUGUGAUGCUGCAUGGCAUUGCAUUGAAAGAUUCAUCGGUGGCGGAUAGGCUCGCGGGACAUUAGCUAGACGGCGGGGCAACGGCCCACCGUGGCGACGAUGUCUAGGGGUUCUGAGAGGAAGGCCCCCACACUGGGACUGAGACACGGCCCAAACUCCUACGGGAGGCAGCAGUGGGGAAUAUUGCACAAUGGGGGAAACCCUGAUGCAGCGACGCCGCGUGAGUGAUGAAGUAUUUCGGUAUGUAAAACUCUAUCAGCAGGGAAGAUAAUGACGGUACCUGACUAAGAAGCACCGGCUAAAUACGUGCCAGCAGCC
rnacentral:rRNA from 1 species